rnacentral:misc_RNA from 1 species
AUCAAAACUUACCAUUACUGCGGAAACAUCUUUAAAAAAAGAAAAAGACAGAAAAAAAAUUGCUUAAUUGGUUGGGGUGAAGACUUUGAGUACACCAAUCGCCCAACUAUGCCAUGCCUUUUUUCAAGUUAUCUCAAUCGGAAGAAAUCAUUUUAUUGACGAUGCGGGGAAAAAGCUGUCAAAACUUCUCUGUAAACAGGCUUCUUGAAGUCCACUGCAUGGUCA